CACAAAAAUAAAAAAAUGGAAAUCACAUUUUUCAACCCAUGGAUGUCUGGAUUUGGAGUCACACUCAAAAUUAAAGUGGAAAAAACACACUACAGGUUUAUCCAACUUUGAUGUAAUGUCCUUAUAACAAGUCAAAAUGAGGCUCAGUAGUGUGUGUGGCCUCCACGUGCCUGUAUGACCUCCCUACAACGCUUGUGCAUGCUCCUGAUGAGGUGGCAGAUGGUCUCCUGAGGGAUCUCCUCCCAGACCUGGACUAAAGCAUCUGCCAACUCCUGGACGUCUGUGGUGCAACGUGACG